rnacentral:tRNA from 4 species
GACUCGUUAGCUCAGUUGGUAGAGCAUUUGACUUUUAAUCAAAGGGUCGCGCGUUCGAGCCGCGCACGGGUCA